GGGGAAGAAACUCAAGUUGUCGCACAGAGCGAAGAACCAUUCUCAGUGGACGCACUCACUGAGAUGUUCAAACAGAUGAGGCGAAAUAUAGUGGCCCUAGGAGAGCCAGUGAUUGGCACAAGAAUAAUCAAGGAAUCUUGAAUGGAUUCUGAAUUGCAAAAGCAAAUGGCCGAUAUUCAGGCCUUCAAAGCCAGACUGAUGGUUUUUAAUAAGGAAUGCAAUGACAAAGCAAAGGAAGAGACUGCCCUAAAAGCGUUGAAGGACAAGUUGGCAGUAUUCGAGUUAGAGCAAAGCCUUGGCCGAGAAGUCAACAAAGUGGACUGUUUGGAAGAAG
rnacentral:lncRNA from 1 species